AUACUUCCCUGGGGGGGGUUACAAUUGGUUCAAGAAGGCCAAUGGCCUAGGAAAGUCAUCUACAGUGCACUUGGGAUGGGGACCUCCCUAGCAAUCCACCACCAAGGAGAGUGCAUGUCACAAUAGAC
rnacentral:snRNA from 9 species